rnacentral:rRNA from 1 species
UACGAGGGGGGCGAGCGUUGUUCGGAAUUAUUGGGCGUAAAGGGUGCGUAGGCGGUUCCGCAAGUCCUGUGUGAAAUCUCCGUGCUCAACACGGAGCGGCCACCUGAUACUGCCGUGACUCGAGUCCGGUAGGGGAGUGUGGAAUUCCCGGUGUAGCGGUGAAAUGCGCAGAUAUCGGGAGGAACACCAGUAGCGAAGGCGGCACUCUGGGUCGUGACUGACGCUGAGGAGCGAAAGCGUGGGUAGCAAACAGG